AUCUGAUGCGGAUUAAGAGCUUUAUCCAUGGAAUCAGAUUAAGGGAAUCAUUUUAUUUGUGUUCUGUAAAAAAAAAAAAAAGACAAAAGGACCGAAAGAAAAUUACACAGGAACAGUUGGGAGUAAUCAAAGGUAAGUGUGAUAAAUUGGGAAUUGUUGUUUUCUUAUCACACACACCACUGUGAAUCAAGCAUCAAGCACACAAAGACACACUGAAUAUGUGCACUAAAUACCAAUAAAAAACACACACACUCACACACACACACAGAGACACACACACACUUUAAGAGGGCAAUUACAUUAGCCCCAGGGAUGGGAGGCCCCUUUGUUAUCACCAUGUUUCUCAAAGGAUCAGUAACAUCAUUAUAUCUUUGUGGUAAAAAAAAAAGAAGAAUGUCUACAUUUUUGUGGUAUGGGUACACCAUCCCUAUGCUGUCACUCUGUAACGCUGACUCAUACUUCCCCCACAUUCAUUCAAAUGAGCAAGAUCCAUAGGAGAACAUUACACAGAGAAUGUAAGCACUGUACCCAAUAUAAACACUGGCAUACCUACACUACAAUCAGUGAAUUUCAUUUCAAAAUAUAGGCAAAUUAAAAAGACCAGGAACCGCUGUAAGUUUGACCUAAAAUAAUUUGUGGUGGGAAUGGGGUUUCUGGUUGCAGUGUAACUUUAGUUAGAUCAGGUCUGACAGUUUCACAUCAUGGGCAUCCAGACACAAUGCCAGGUAAGGGGGGAUCAUCCAUUUAGGUCAAACUAUCCCUUUAACAAUAACAAUAACAAUUUAAACAAUAACUUUUGAACAAAUACUACAUUACUACUGAUUUUAAUAUAAGUGAUCUUUCAAAAUAAAUAUAUUCAUGAAUUAAAACAUUCUUCUGAAUGACACUUGAAAACUGAUUAAGAAAACAGCGCCACUCUUUAAUCUGUUCGGCAUCUGUUAUAGUUAUUGUCUUGUUGGUGAACUGUGGUAAAAAAUACAGUAAAUAACUUUUUUGUUGCAAAUAAGAUGUACAUCGAUGGUGUCAAAAUGGAUGUGGCUGUUUUACCAAAUACGGAUUCCAGCUUUCAAUCAAUGAUCAUCUCCUAAAGAAACAUGACUAUACAAGUUUGCACGAUAGUGAACUUCAGGUACAAAGUCCUUAAAGAAGUACAGUACUGGAUGUGUCAAAAGUAAGAACAAGAUGAUGUCAUUCAUUCACAAUUUCACAGUGUAUAUCAGGAGGCACACAAACAGACGCACUCACACACACUGUCAUACACGAGUGCAUAUACAUAUACACACACACACACACACACACAAAAUACACUGAGCAAAAUUAUAAACGCAACACUUGUUUUUGCACCCAUUUAUCAUGAGCUGAAUUCAAAGAUCUAAGACUUUCUCUAUGUACACAAAAUGCCUAUUUCUCUCAAAUAUUGUUCACAAAUCUGUGUUACAGGUGUGGCAUAUCAAGAUGCUGAUUAGACAGCAUGAUUAUUGCACAGGUGUGCCUUAGGCUGGCCACAAUAAAAGGCCACUCUAAAAUGUGCAGUUCCAUCACACAGCACAAUGCCACAGAUGGGUCAAGUUUUGAGGGAGCGUGCAAUUGGCAUGCUGACUGCAGGAAUGUCCACCAGAGCUGUUGCCCCUGAAUUUAAUGUUAAUUUCUCUACCAUAAGCCAUCUCCAAAGGCGUUUCAGACAAUUUGGCAGUAGAUCCAACCGGCCUCACAACCACAGACCACUUGUAACCACACCUCGUCGUCCUCAUCGGGUUCUCGACCUGACUGCAGUUUGUCGUCGUAACCGACUUGAGUGGGCAAAUGGUCACAUUCGAUGGCGUCUGCCACUUUGAAGAGGUGUUCUCUUCACGGAUGAAUCCCGGUUUUCACUGUACAGGGCAGAUGGCAGACAGCGUGUAUGGUGUCGUGUGGGUGAGCAGUUUGCUGAUGUCAACGUUGUGGAUCGAGUGGCCCAUGGUGGCGGUGGGGUUAUGGUAUGGGCAGGCGUGUGUUAUUGACAACGAGCACAGGUGCAUUUAAUUGAUGACAUUUUGAAUGCACAGAGAUACCAUGACGAGAUCCUGAGGCCCAUUGAUGUGCCAUUCAUCCACGACCAUCACCACAUGUUGCAGCAUGAUAAUGCACGGUCUCAUGUUGCAAGGAUCUGUACACAAUUCCUGGAACUGAAAACAUCCCAGUUCUUGCAUGGCCAGCAUACUCACCGGACAUGUCACCUAUUGAGCAUGUUUGGGAUGCUCUGGAUCGGCGUAUACGAGAGCGUUUUCCAGGUCCUGCCAAUAUCCAGCAACUUCGCACAGCCAUUGAAGACCAACAUUCCAUAGGCCACAAUCAAUAACCUGAUCAACUCUAUGCAAAGGAGAUGUGUUGCAUUGUGUGAGGCAAAUGGUGGUCACACCAGAUACUGACUGGUUUUCGGACCCCCCCAAUACAGUGAAACUGCACAUUUUAGAGUGGCUUUUUAUUGUGGCCAGCCUAAGGUACAUCUGUGAAAUAACCAUGCUGUCUAAUCAGCAUCUUGAUAUGCCACACCUGUGAUGUGGAUGGAUUAUCUUGGCAAAGGAGAAGUGCUCACUAACACAGAUUUAGACAGAUGUGUGAACAAUAUGAGAGAAAUAGGCCUUUUGUGUACAUAGAGAAAGUCUUAGAUCUUUGAGUUCAGCUCAUGAUAAAUGUGGGCAAAAACAAAAGUGUUGCGUUCAUAAUUUUGUUCAGUGUAAUUCAAACACAGGAUAAAGGGCCAGGCAAGACCAGACAUAGUAAUAACUGUGUUAUAUAAUGUUGUCCUAUAACUCAGUGAUGGCUCAUGGGGGGGUGGGUCUCUCAACAGGUAGUAGGGCUCAAGGUUCUGGAACUGACAAGGCCUCAUACAUAUCAACAACAUGCUGAUUAUUGUGGUUCAAAACAUUGAAUACAUACAGAAAUUUCCAGGAUGAAAAUUCAGUUGAAAGAUUAGAAAUCAUUUCUAAAAAACUUUGAUAUCUGAUAAAAGGUUAAGGGUAUAAGACUGUGUGUAUACAAGCGUAAGGAACCAAACAAACUUAUAAACCAAAUUUCUAUCAGUAUCUUCGAAUCACAGAGCACACAGGACACGUGACCUGCUAGCAUUAAAACUGGCGGAAAUUAGCCACUUGAUAGCUGCCAUCACAUACAUCUACAGAUCACCUGCAUCUGCUCUAAGACCGGACAAACAGACUGUUUGGUUGCUUUGUGAAACCAGGAACUGAUGAUAAAAGGACGACACACAUCCAUAUAUGAAUUGUUCUGCAAUCUCGGUAGAAAAUAUAACAUCUACAUUACACAAUAAUAUCACUAUUGCUUAUAUUAAAUAUCAUCAGAGGUUAUGAGCAUUGAGAAUCCACUUUUGGAACCAUACGUCUGAGCUCUAGUAUGGACUCAUUACUGACAACAGUCCCAUCAGUUAUAGUCCCUAGAUAAACAGAGCUUUGCCAUUGUCAAGUUAGACAGUUAUUGACAAUCCAUCCAAAAGUUUCUUCUUGCCAACAGAAAAUGCACUGUAUAAAUCUGCUACACAAUAAAAAAAAAAAACAUGAUACAUAGGAUUAUCCCCCUUUCUCUAAAAUGGUCAACCCCCAAAUCUUAUGGAACCCAAUCCCUCAAAUAGCCAAGACGGGAUUAAAGGGAAAGUAGCAUUAGUUUUGUUGAGUUGGCUAAUAUUAGCCACUAGCAAUAAAUGAUGCUAUUGCAUACUGUGUUCACCUUGUCCCUUGCCUUUUACCACCUAUGGAUAAUUUAAAUUGAUCUACUUUGGUUCUUCUUAUAUCAUUAGAAUAUGCAAAAAAUUCUUGCAUGGAUUCAGCCAUCUUUGUAAAUCUUUUUUGUUUUAUGUAAUAACUCUGAAAACAGAAGAGUUAAGUGUAACUUUGCAUGGGACUUUCACAUGUGGUUAUGUUAAAUGCUACCCACCCUUUAAAGACUGGCACAUAUUGGCAUCAUAUCCAACAGACCCCUGUGUCCACCAAACCAAACAACGAUUGUUGCAUAAUUGUUGAAACUAGUCCAAAACAAUUCUCCCAGAAUGUCUCCAUGUUGUGUUACGGAGGGUUCAUUGUCAAAAUGGCUUCCUUCACAAGUUUAAACUCCAAGUCACAUCCUGCUUGCUGUGCUGAAACAACCCAUUGGGACGUGGAAGAAGGAUCCAAAAACAAUGCAUUUAAUGGACAGGCAUAGUCCUCCUUAGACAUGGCUCCGGAGGACCAGUGGAGGAGCAGAGGUGUGUCACUAUUAAAAAGCAGGACUCCUCUGUUUAAUGGAGCGAGAGGUGGUGGGGGUAGUGGAUUGAGCACAACAUUUGCAAAUGGAUACACAAUGUUUUGCCUGGUGAGUUUCCUUCUGUUCCCCUUCUGCCAUCUCUGGCAAUACACCUGGGAAAG
ensembl:lncRNA